CCUACGGGAGGCAGCAGUGGGGAAUAUUGCACAAUGGGGGGAACCCUGAUGCAGCGACGCCGCGUGAGUGAAGAAGUAUUUCGGUAUGUAAAGCUCUAUCAGCAGGGAAGAAGAUGACGGUACCUGACUAAGAAGCCCCGGCUAACUACGUGCCAGCAGCCGCGGGAAUACGGAGGGGGCAAGCGUUAUCCGGAUUUACUGGGUGUAAAGGGAGCGUAGACGGCAGGGCAAGUCUGGAGUGAAAGCCCGGGGCCCAACCCCGGGACUGCUUUGGAAACUGCCAUGCUGGAGUGCGGGAGAGGUAAGCGGAAUUCCUAGUGUAGCGGUGAAAUGCGUAGAUAUUAGGAGGAACACCAGUGGCGAAGGCGGCUUACUGGACAGUAACUGACGUUGAGGCUCGAAAGCGUGGGGAGCAAACAGGAUUAGAUACCCCUGUAGUC
rnacentral:rRNA from 1 species